UAUUUGUGCCCUUUGUUCUCUGA
rnacentral:piRNA from 1 species